rnacentral:rRNA from 1 species
AUUGAACGCUGGCGGCAGGCCUAACACAUGCAAGUCGAACGAGUGGCGGACGGGUGAGUAAUGCUUGGGAACCUACCUUAUGGAGGGGGAUAACUACGGGAACCUGUAGCUAAUACCGCGUACCAUAGGAUGAGCCCAAGUGGGAUUAGGUAGUAGGUGGGGUAAAGGCUCACCAAGCCGCCGAUCCCUAGCUGGUCUGAGAGGAUGACCAGCCACACUGGAACUGAGACACGGCCCAGACUCCUACGGGAGGCAGCAGUGGGGAAUAUUGCUCAAUGGGCGCAACCCUGACGCAGCCAUGCCGCGUGAAUGAAGAAGGCCUUCGGGUUGUAAAGUUCUUUCAGCGGGGAGGCGUUACCCGCAGAAGAAGCACCGGCUAACUCCGUGCCAGCAGCCGCGGUAAUUC